AGAGAAUCAUCUUGAACCCAGGAGGCAGAGGUUGCAGUGAGCCGAGAUUGCGCCACUGCUCUCCAGCCUGGGCGACAGAG
rnacentral:snRNA from 1 species